CUUUUCCCCUUUCACCUACAUCAUUGGGUGGGCACCAAGGUCUUUGGAUAGAGGUAUGCUAAAUACAGCUUUCUCACCAACAGUCUGUAAAGCCUUUAGAAGGAGAGCCAGUUCUGCAAAUUGGCAUGCCUUUCAUAUUUAUCUUCACUCUUUUUAAAAAUUAAAUAUUUAUUUAUUUAUUUUGAGGGAGAGACAGACAGUGAGCUUGCAUGGGGGAGGAGCAGAGAGCGAGGGAGAGAGAAUCCCAAGCAGGCUCCACACAGUGUGGAGCCCAUUGUGAGGCUCAAUCUCACAAACCAUGAGUUCAUGACCUGAGCCAAAAUCAAGAUUCAAAAGCUUAACUGACUGAGUCACCCAGGUGCCCCCUUUAUCUAUCUUCAUUCUUAAUAGGGAUUUUUGGAGCCACAAGAUCUCAAUAGUGGUAGAAAGCUGAAAAAAGAAACAGUGAAAAUCAAUAAAGACUCAGAAAACAUUUUGAAGUAAACAUAUAUGUGUCAAGAUAAUGAGAAAUAUGUGUUUCCAUCCAUGCCUGUUUCCAGAGGACCCUCUCUCCAUUCCUGCUUCUGGACAGAAGACCUCUAUUCCACCAAAGAAGGGACACUUCAGAAGCUGGAAAACAAAGAACACCAAAUUCCUGGCUUUUAAAUGAAGCAAACGAAUGGAAAACUGCUCUUCAUGGCUAAGGGAAGAAGAUUCGGCAGGAUAGCUACCAAAGGACCAAUGCUGUGAUGCUGCAUGAGGCCUCUGCACUAUGAUGUCGCUCCUGGGAAAAGAAAGAGGAGAGAAAACGCCAGCAGACAAGGGGCAAAGAGAGAGGGAGAGAGAGAAUCCAAAGCAGACUCUGUGCCAUCAGCGCAGAGCCCGAUGCGAGGCUUGAUCUCACAAACUGUGAGAUGAUGACCUGAGCUGAAAACAAGAGUCAGAUGCUUAGCCAACUGAGCCAUCCAGGCACCCCUCUACCAAUCUAUUCUUUUAUCACUUCUGCUUUUGGUGUCCAUCAGUACUACUCCAAGGGGGGUAAAGCUACCUAGGUCACAGACAAAAAGAUGUAAACGACUUCAUUUUAAUUUCCCAUUGGUUGCUAACACCAUCUAUAAGUAUGUUUUAUGUCAGAAGUUCCUGUGUGGUUCUGGAAUGUUGUUUCUUAUCUUGACUUUCUGAUUUUUUUUUUUUUUUGAAUUAUGCCCGUUUCCAUCAGGGAAUGAGUUAUUGAUUUUCACUCAACCUACUUGUGCAUGGGGCACCGGUGGAGAGCCCAAC
rnacentral:lncRNA from 1 species